rnacentral:rRNA from 1 species
GACGAACGCUGGCGGCGUGCUUAACACAUGCAAGUCGAACGGUAACAGGCCUAGCUUGCUAGGUGCUGACGAGUGGCGGACGGGUGAGAAACGCGUAAGAAUCUGCCCUAUAGCGGGGGACAACCUUGGGAAACUAAGGCUAAUACCGCAUAAGCCCGAGAGGGGAAAGGCUUCGGCCACUAUAGGAUGAGCUUGCGUCAGAUUAGCUAGUUGGUGGGGUAAAGGCCUACCAAGGCGAAGAUCUGUAGCUGUUCUGAGAGGAAGAUCAGCCACACUGGGACUGAGACACGGCCCAGACUCCUACGGGAGGCAGCAGUGGGGAAUAUUGGACAAUGGGCGAAAGCCUGAUCCAGCAAUGCCGCGUGUGUGAAGAAGGCCUUCGGGUUGUAAAGCACUUUAGUGGGGGAAGAAAGCACGCAAGUGUUUGACGGUACCCCAAGAAUAAGCAACGGCUAACUCUGUGCCAGCAGCCGCAGUAA